rnacentral:lncRNA from 1 species
CGGUCUGGACCUUGUUAAUGUAACUGCUGCCAGCUUUCCUGUAAGGAUCCCCAUCCAGGCCCUUCAGCAACUGUAGGAGCAGGCGUGGUGUUGUCGCUACUGUCAAAUCCUGGACCCGGCAGCCGACUUUUUCCUGACUUGGACAUGAGCAGCAGAAGCAAGGGAAGUUUCAAGACACACAGUAAAGUUUGCUUCAGUCCAGGGAUCACAGUGCACAAAACCCGAGCAUACUUCUGAGCUCUCCGUGAUGUUGAAAAAGAAUCUUCUUCAAGAAUGACCAAAUGCUUAACCUGCCUUGUGCCCAGCUCAGUGCAGAGAGAAGUUACUACACUGAACGAGAACUACAACCAGGAAGCAGUCUCCACCCUGAGAAGCAGCCAUUAGUACACAGAGGAGAUUUCAUGGACACAGGGCCAUCCACAGGAACACAAACAACCCAUCAGCUGCCAAACUGCUGAAGAAAAGUGACUCCCCUCCUCCAGCAGGCGUAAGUUGCCAGUGGCUAAGAGUGGAACUGCCUGAGUCCCCACCUCCAUCGAUGCUGCAAAGUGCAUGCCUCGACUUUGUGCAGGGCCAACUUUAAGAGGACAGAGCCAGGGAUUGCGAGUGGGAGAGAUUGUGUCUGUAAGGGCAGAGGAGACACCAAUGAACUGAGUGCCACCUGCCUCCGUGUGACAGGAGCCUCGCAUAACUGUUUUCUGAGAGGCUUCAUCCAGCAGUGGAUGGAAACGGAUGCAGAGAGACCCACAGCCAAACAUCAGGCAGAGCUUGGGCAUCAGAGUGUGGAUGCUCCAACACUGCACAGGAAGCUAAAAAGGAAAGGUCAGUCCCUGGCACUUACAAGCAUGGUGUUUUCUAGUUGUUCUCAAGCAGAAGAGAUGGAGGACCAGAAAGAAUAGAACAGUGCCCGUUUCAUGGGGACCGAACACAUUGAGAGAACCUUACCACAGUUAAGUCUCUCUGCCCACAAGGGACCUAUGGGAUCCACCAUCACACCGGGAGAUCAAGGCACAGCAAAGACACAUAUCUGGGACUCACAGCUCAGAUCCUUCUAUUCCUUGUAACUGCUCCAUUAAAGGCACAGAAAAGAAAACGAUGCCAUUUUACUGAUGGAUUCAGUGCAACAGAUGGACCAUCCACCUGACCAAACUGCAGAAUCGAAGUAUCCAUGCACGGAGAUAUCAUCUUCACAGAAAAUUAAAAAUCCCACAUUUAAAUCUCCAUAUA